rnacentral:lncRNA from 1 species
GUUUUUAGCCAGGCGUGGUGGUGCACGGCUAUCAUUCUGGCACUGGGGAGGCUGAGGCAGGAAGAUUGCCAUGAGCUCGAGGCCAACCUGGGCUACAUAGGAUUGAACUUGGGACCUUUCGAGGCAGGCACGGUGCCACUGAGCUAAAUCCCUGGCGCCUCUGUGCUUUCUAACAAGAUGGGCGUCUUCAUGAGUCUCCUGGGCACAAUCAGGGCUGUGCGCGUGGGCUCCGCAGACAUCGGCGCAGACGGUGAUUCCUGCCGCGCCUCUCUGCCCCUCGGCCUCACGUCCCCCUGCUUCCUGAGCCAGGACGCCCACGGAUGCGACUUCGGUUCGCUUCGAGGAAGGAACCGCCCGGCGGCUUCCACAGCAGCCCCACGGGUUCACUCCCGCUGCGGUCUUGCCCGGGCCUAACCCAGCAGGGCCUGCUCGCCUCCCGGGCCAGCCGGCCGGCUCAGCCCUAGGCUCCCUGCCUCUCCUCGAAAGCCAGGGAUGCAGUGUCUGAGCGUGACCCAGACAGCUAAUAGUUGUAUGGUGUGAAUAAAACACAAGCAACCAGGUCUCCGCAGACAGUCAGAGAAGGGUCAGGGCUGGCUCCUGACAACACAACCUAAAGGCAGAGCUGUGCCCACGUCAUGCAUCCUUCGUUACUCUGUGACAACCCAAGACUCCAGUGCUUUUCUCUGCCUCGCUCUCCCUUACCUGCAGCCCCUCCAAGGAGCCUGAAGAGGCAGCAGCAGCAAUUCUAGGAGUCCUCCUUUGUGAGUGUCUUUAUGAGGUGUGAUCGAAAUGUGGUGAAU